rnacentral:rRNA from 1 species
GAUGAACGCUAGCGAUAGGCUUAACACAUGCAAGUCGAGGGGCAGCAUGGUCUUAGCUUGCUAAGACUGAUGGCGACCGGCGCACGGGUGCGUAACGCGUAUGCAACUUGCCUCACAGAGGGGGAUAACCCGUCGAAAGACGGACUAAUACCGCGUACACUCCAUCUUGGGCAUCCAAGGUAGAGGAAAUGGAUUUCGCUGUGAGAUGGGCAUGCGUCCCACUAGCUAGUUGGUGCGGUAACGGCCCACCAAGGCGACGAUGCGUAGGGGGUCUGGGAGGAUGUUCGGCCACACGGGGACUGACACACGGGCCAGAUUGCUACAGGUGGCAGCAGUGGGGAGUAUUGAACAUUCGGCUAAAGCGUAAUACAGCACCGCCGCGUGAGUUAUGAAGGUCUUAGGGUUGUAAAGCCAUCUUCCCCGGGAGGAUCAUGACAGUACCGGGAGAAUAAGCUCCGGCUAACUCCGUG